rnacentral:rRNA from 1 species
AGCGAACGCUGGCGGCAGGCUUAACACAUGCAAGUCGAGCGGGCGUAGCAAUACGUCAGCGGCAGACGGGUGAGUAACGCGUGGGAACGUACCUUUUGGUUCGGAACAACACAGGGGAAACUUGUGCUAAUACCGGAUAAGCCCUUACGGGGAAAGAUUUAUCGCCGAAAGAUCGGCCCGCGUACUGAUUAGCUAGUUGGUGAGGUAACGGCUCACCAAGGCGACGAUCAGUAGCUGGUCUGAGAGGAUGAUCAGCCACAUUGGGACUGAGACACGGCCCAAACUCCUACGGGAGGCAGCAGUGGGAAUAUUGGACAAUGGGCGCAAGCCUGAUCCAGCCAUGCCGCGUGAGUGAUGAA